rnacentral:rRNA from 1 species
AUGAAAACAAAGUGGGACAGAGAAGCGGAAAUUGAAAUAAUAGAAGAGGAGGAAGAUCUCAACUCUGAUCCAUAUGAUUUCGUCUACAGCAACAUACCAACAACAACAAACGUGCUCGAAAAAGAAGCAAAUUGCUUUUUCUGCCAGGCAACCAAAUUCAAGUAUGAAACUGAGGGAUUAUGCUGCAAAAAAGGACAAAUAAGACUAGCCAAUCCACAUACACCACCAGAACUCAUGAGACUAUGGACAAGCACCGACUCUGAUGCAAGACAUUUUUGGCAGAAUAUAAGAUUUUUCAAUGGUCAUUGCUCAUUUACUACACUAUAUUGCCACCUCGACAGUGACACAGCUGACAUGAGAACGACUGGCAUUUACACCUUUGGAGCACAUGGCCAAAUAUACCACAACAUACACUCAUUUGGCAAUAGUCACUCAGAUCCAAAGCAUCUGGAGCUCUACUUCUACCCAUGA